GAAGAAGUGAUUCAUUGGGUACAACAG
rnacentral:sRNA from 1 species